rnacentral:rRNA from 1 species
AAACGGUGGCUAACACCUGAUGAUCUCGAAAGAGCAAAGUUUACGCUCUGGGAGCGGGGAAUCUCCUAUCAAGGUAGUUGGUGAGGUAAUGGCUCACCAAGCCUUAGACGGGUAGCGGGUGUGAGAGCACGGCCCGCCGCAUCGGGACUGAGACACUGCCCGGACUCCUACUGGAGGCUGCAGUAACGAAUCUUCCGCAAUGCACGAAAGUGUGACGGGGCAAUGCCGCGUGUGGGAUGAAGCCCCUCGGGGUGUAAACCACUGUCAGGGUCUAGGAACACAAUGACCAUACCCAAAGGAAGCACCGGCUAACUCUGUGCCNGCAGCCGCGGUAAUACAGAGGGUGCGAGCGUAAUCGGAAUUACUGGGCUUAAAGGGUCCGUAGGCUGGGCUGUAGGCGUCGAGUGAAAUACCACGGCUCAACCGUGGA